rnacentral:lncRNA from 1 species
CAGUCGCUUGGCCGCCGUUCUCUCUGCGCAUCGUGUCCGUGCCGCGUCGGAUUUAACUUCGUUUUCCCUCACGUGUUUUGACAAUUAUGUCAUCGCGUUUUCGCCCCGAAUAAACUUGUUCGUUUUUGUUUUUCGGUUUGUGUGAACUUGUGAAAAAUUAGUUUCAUGUUUUUGAUUUACCAAUGCUUGGAUAUACUUCCUACAGGUACGACACGGAGACCGCUAUGCUGGGAGUGGUCGCCUGGUGGGACCGCGCCGCAGCAACAGCUGUCCGUGGUGACUACCGUCUGGGGGGUGACUUCCUCGACUCAGUCGGCCCCGCAGAACUUCGGCUCAAGUCUGGCGACGAGCGGAUUCGCUCAUCAGCCGACCGGGAUCAGCGCCGCCAAGCAAGCCUCCAACUACCCCGGAUACCGACAAUCCACAGGGUAAUUGUUUUGCUGUUAUUUUCGUCGAAAUACCUCUUUAUCACCCAUGGAAUUCCGCUUCGUUCGUCCCUCCGUAUGUAUAUUCAUGGUGCCUCAACGU